rnacentral:lncRNA from 1 species
GCGCGCAUGCACAUAUAUAUAUAAAAUACACGUCAUAUUAAUUAACAUGCGAAGCAUGUUUGCAUAAUAUAUAAUAUAUAUAGUAUAAGCAUGCACAUAUAGAAUACUAUAUUCUACCCGAAUUGAUUAUGGACUUUUAUUCUAGUUUGGUUCACUAUAGUCACCAAGUGAACCAAAAGGUCAAACCGUAGGGGUGCAAGAAUUAAUAUUUAAAUAUAAGUAUUACAUUUAAACACAGGCUCCAUUACAAACGGGUCUUCACACGCUCCUUGCUCCUUGAUCUUCAAUUCUUCAAAAUUAAUUCUAACUAUUCCUAUUACAAAACUAUUUAAAAUAAAUAGAAACAUUGAUCAGCAGUCAAGGGAAAAUACAUAGGAGGAAGAUAGAAUUUAUAUUAAGAAAAAAUUAGAGAAGACGAGGUACGCAGACCCCAUUUAAUAAAAUUCAUACAUUCAUGCAUCCAACUAAAAUAAAAUCCAAUCACAUUGGUCAAUAGUCCAUAAUCAAUCCCAUUUAUUAUUAUACACAUCAUCAUAUGUAUCAAUAAAUAACAUUUAUCUCAUGAAUAAUAAACAUUCAAUAUAUAUAUUGAUAUCAUUUAAUGGGUAAAAUUUAGUUAGCAUAAAAUCUAAUUUUGAAUCAAAAUAAACUCCUUUAUUUUAAUCCAAAUUUAAAUCAAAAUAAACUCUUUUAUUUUAAUUUAUCCAAUUUUGAAUAAAAUAAACUAUUUUAUUUUAAUCAAAAUAAACUCCUUUAUUUUAAUUAAUUAUGGAAUCCAAUUCCAUGUUAAAAAAAAUAAAACUCCUUUAUUUAAAGGAAACACGGAUUCUUUCCCUAUUCACAAAUAAACUCUUUUAUUUUGAAUAAUAUGAAAUCUUAUUUCAUAUAUAAAUAAACUCCUUUAUUUAAGGAAACAUGGAUUCACUUUCCUAUUCACAAAUAAACUCUUUUAUUUUGAAUAAUAUGAAAUCUUAUUUCAUAUCUAAAUAAACUCCUUUAUUUAAGGAAACAUGAAAUCCAAUUUCAACUCCAAUUAGUUAUCAUGGAAUCCAAUUCCAACUCUAAUUAGUUAGAGUGAAAUCCAAUUUUAAAAUUAAAAUAAACUUUUUAUUUUAAAAUUAAAAUAAACUUUUAUUUUAAUAAUAAAAUAAUUAAGAUUAAUAUAUAUAUAUAUAUAACUAUUAUAUAAAUAUAUAUAUAUAUAUAUAAGCCGAAUAUAUAUAUAGAUUACAACUACUACUAUAUAUAUAGAUUACAAUGUAAUCUGGAAUCCUGCAUAGCCAUUACUUCACGUGAACUCCUGAUCAUAUAUGUAUAUCUAAUAU